rnacentral:piRNA from 1 species
UGACUGACUCGGUGACCUGGACUGGUGGA